AGAACGAACGCUGGCGGCAGGCUUAACACAUGCAAGUCGAACGCUCGUAGCAAUACGGGAGUGGCAGACGGGUGAGUAACGCGUGGGAACAUACCCUCCGGUUCGGAAUAGCUCAGGGAAACUUGGAUUAAUACCGGAUACGGCCGAGAGGCGAAAGAUUUAUCGCCGGAGGAUUGGCCCGCGUUCGAUUAGCUAGUUGGUGAGGUAACGGCUCACCAAGGCGAUGAUCGAUAGCU
rnacentral:rRNA from 1 species